AUUCUGCCCAUGCGGGGAAGGAUGAGAAGCUUCGACCAAGGUUCGACUCGAGCGCCAGCGAGCGAGCGUUGCCGCAGGCAACGACCCGAAGGGCGAAGCGCGCAGCGCUGAGUAAUCCUUCCCCCACCACCA
rnacentral:sRNA from 1 species